GACGAACGCUGGCGGCGUGCCUAAUACAUGCAAGUAGAACGCUGAAGGAGGAGCUUGCUUCUCUGGAUGAGUUGCGAACGGGUGAGUAACGCGUAGGUAACCUGCCUGGUAGCGGGGGAUAACUAUUGGAAACGAUAGCUAAUACCGCAUAAUAGUAGAUGUUGCAUGACAUUUGCUUAAAAGGUGCAAUUGCAUCACUACCAGAUGGACCUGCGUUGUAUUAGCUAGUUGGUGAGGUAACGGCUCACCAAGGCGACGAUACAUAGCCGACCUGAGAGGGUGAUCGGCCACACUGGGACUGAGACACGGCCCAGACUCCUACGGGAGGCAGCAGUAGGAAAUCUUCGGCAAUGGACGGAAGUCUGACCGAGCAACGCCGCGUGAGUGAAGAAGGUUUUCGGAUCGUAAAGCUCUGUUGUAAGAGAAGAACGAGUGUGAGAGUGGAAAGUUCACACUGUGACGGUACCUUACCAGAAAGGGACGGCUAACUACGU
rnacentral:rRNA from 1 species